UUUUGCUCAGGUUUAGAACAUUUAUGCCUCGCUUCAGGCUCUGAUUGCACAGUGUGCAAACCACUCGUGUCUUGUCGUCAGCACAUCGUCUGAAGAACUGCCAUGCCAGGGAACUCCUUGGAGCUGACUUUGGUGUGCUCGGUCCCUGGGUGCGGUGUGCAGUAGCAGGCGUACUGUCUAGAGGAUGGCUGCUCCGCUUUUGCACCCUGCUCUAGGAGGAGGAGGUGGAUGUGGAGUAGGAGUUUGAGGAGGCGGUGGCCGUGGCGGCGACUACGCAUUCGAAUGUCUGCCCUAUCAACUUUCGAUGUUACUUUCUGCGCCUACCAUGGUGACCACGGGUAACAGGGAUUCAGGGUUCGAUUCCAGAGAGGGAGGCUGAGAAAAGGCUACCACAUGCAAGGAAGGCAGCAGGCGCGCAAAUUACCCACUCCCGACGCGGGUAGGUAGUGAUGAUAAAUAACAAUACAGGACUCUUUCCAGGCCCUGUAAUUGGAAUGAGUACACAUAUGAGGCGGUGAGCGGGAAGGCCGAAGUUA